rnacentral:rRNA from 1 species
UACAGAGGGUGCAAGCGUUGUUCGGAAUUAUUGGGCGUAAAGGGAGUGUAGGCGGCACCAAAAGUCUUCUGUGAAAUCUACGGGCUUACCCCGUAACGUGCAGAGGAUACUCUGGAGCUAGAGUGUCGGAGAGGAUAGUGGAAUUCCAGGUGUAGAGGUGAAAUUCGUAGAGAUCUAGAGGAACACCAGUGGCGAAGGCGACUAUCUGGCUGACAACUGACGCUGAGACUCGAAAGCAUGGGGAGCAAACAGG